UUUAAGUGCAACUAUAAGUUUCCGUGCCCAACUUUGAUCGUCCGUUUUAUUUGAAAUUUUUUUAUAAUUAGUAUUUUUGUUGUUAUGAGAUGAUAAAACAUAAAUAGUACUUUACUCGUGACUUAUGUUUUUAAAUUUUUUCAAAAAUUUUUCAAAUAAGGCGGAUGGUCAAAGUUGGGCGCGAAAAAAUAUGGCUGCACUUAAA
rfam:Oryza barthii chromosome 12, whole genome shotgun sequence.